UACGUAGGGCGCAAGCGUUGUCCGGAAUUAUUGGGCGUAAAGAGCUCGUAGGCGGACUGUCACGUCUGCUGUGAAAGCUAGGGCUUAACCCUGGCCUUGCAGUGGAUACGGGCAGACUAGAGGUAGGUAGGGGAGAAUGGAAUUCCUGGUGUAGCGGUGAAAUGCGCAGAUAUCGGGAGGAACACCGGUGGCGAAGGCGGUUCUCUGGGCCUUACCUGACGCUGAGGAGCGAAAGCGUGGGGAGCGAACAGG
rnacentral:rRNA from 1 species